rnacentral:rRNA from 1 species
UACAUGGGGUGCAAACGUUGCUCGGAAUUAUUGGGCGUAAAGCGCGUGUAGGCGGUUACUUAAGUCGGAUGUGAAAGCCCUCGGCUUAACUGAGGAAGUGCACCCGAAACUGAGUAGCUAGAGUACCAAAGAGGGUCGCGGAAUUCCCGGUGUAGAGGUGAAAUUCGUAGAUAUCGGGAGGAACACCGGUGGCGAAGGCGGCGACCUGGGUGGAUACUGACGCUGAGGCGCGAAAGCGUGGGGAGCAAACAGG